AAGAGACAGCAGUCGCCGCGGGAAUACGGAGGGUGCAAGCGUUAAUCGGAAUUACUGGGCGUAAAGCGCACGCAGGCGGUCUGACAAGUCAGAUGUGAAAUCCCCGGGCUUAACCUGGGAACUGCAUUUGAAACUGUCAGGCUGGAGUCUUGUAGAGGGGGGUGGAAUUCCAGGUGUAGCGGUGAAAUGCGUAGAGAUCUGGAGGAAUACCGGUGGCGAAGGCGGCCCCCUGGACAAAGACUGACGCUCAGGUGCGAAAGCGUGGGGAGCAAACAGGAUUAGAUACCCGUGUAGUCCCUGUCUCUUAUAC
rnacentral:rRNA from 1 species